rnacentral:rRNA from 1 species
UAGCUAGUUGGUGAGGUAACGGCUUACCAAGGCGACGAUCUGUAGCGGGUCUGAGAGGAUGAUCCGCCACACUGGAACUGAGACACGGUCCAGACUCCUACGGGAGGCAGCAGUGGGGAAUUUUGGACAAUGGGGGCAACCCUGAUCCAGCCAUGCCGCGUGAGUGAAGAAGGCCUUCGGGUUGUAAAGCUCUUUCGGCCGGGAAGAAAUCGCAUGGGCCAAUACCCUGUGUGGAUGACGGUACCGGAAUAAGAAGCACCGGCUAACUACGUGCCAGCAGCCGCGGUAAUACGUAGGGUGCGAGCGUUAAUCGAAAUUACUGGGCGUAAAGCGUGCGCAGGCGGUUUUGUAAGACAGGCGUGAAAUCCCCGGGCUCAACCUGGGAACUGCGUUUGUGACUGCAAGGCUAGAGUACGGCAGAGGGGGGUGGAAUUCCACGUGUAGCAGUGAAAUGCGUAGAGAUGUGGAGGAACACCAAUGGCGAAGGCAGCCCCCUGGGUCGAUACUGACGCUCAUGCACGAAAGCGUGGGUAGCAAACAGGAUUAGAUACCCUGGUAGUCCACGCCCUAAACUAUGUCAACUAGGUGUUGGGUGGGUAAAACCAUUUAGUACCGUAGCUAACGCGUGAAGUUGACCGCCUGGGGAGUACGGCCGCAAGGUUAAAACUCAAAGGAAUUGACGGGGACCCGCACAAGCGGUGGAUGAUGUGGAUUAAUUCGAUGCAACGCGAAAAACCUUACCUACCCUUGACAUGCCAGGAACUUGCCAGAGAUGGCUUGGUGCCCGAAAGGGAGCCUGGACACAGGUGCUGCAUGGCUGUCGUCAGCUCGUGUCGUGAGAUGUUGGGUUAAGUCCCGCAACGAGCGCAACCCUUGUCGUUAAUUGCCAUCAUUUAGUUGGGCACUUUAGCGAGACUGCCGGUGACAAACCGGAGGAAGGUGGGGAUGACGUCAAGUCCUCAUGGCCCUUAUGGGUAGGGCUUCACACGUCAUACAAUGGUCGGUACAAAGGGUCGCCAAGCCGCGAGGUGGAGCCAAUCCCAGAAAGCCGAUCGUAGUCCGGAUUGCAGGCUGCAACUCGCCUGCAUGAAGUCGGAAUCGCUAGUAAUCGUGGAUCAGCAUGUCACGGUGAAUACGUUCCCGGGUCUUGUACACACCGCCCGUCACACCAUGGGAGCGGGUUCCGCCAGAAGUAGGUAGCCUAACCGCAAGGAGGGCGCUUACCACGGCGGGGUUCGUGACUGGGGUGAAGUCGGAACAAGGUAGCCGUAGGGAACCUGCGGCUG